rnacentral:rRNA from 1 species
GAAACGACUCUCGGCAACGGAUAUCUCGGCUCAUGCAUCGAUGAAGAACGUAGCAAAAUGCGAUACUUGGUGUGAAUUGCAGAAUCCCGUGAACCAUCGAGUUUUUGAACGCAAGUUGCGCCCGAAGCCAUUCGGUUGAGGGCACGUCUGCCUGGGCGUCACGC